rnacentral:antisense_RNA from 1 species
GUGAGGGAUUCAUCCCCGAUGGACUGCGUAGCAGUCCCUGUUUUUCAGGGCCGCUGCGCGACCCAUCGGGGAUGAAUCCCCUCA